CCAGACUCCUACGGGAGGCAGCAGUGGGGAAUAUUGCACAAUGGGGGAAACCCUGAUGCAGCGACGCCGCGUGAGUGAGGAAGUAUUUCGGUAUGUAAAGCUCUAUCAGCAGGGAAGAAAAAAUGACGGUACCUGACUAAGAAGCACCGGCUAAAUACGUGCCAGCAGCCGCGGUAAUACGUAUGGUGCAAGCGUUAUCCGGAUUUACUGGGUGUAAAGGGAGCGCAGGCGGUACGGCAAGUCUGAUGUGAAAGCCUGGGGCUCAACCCCGGUACUGCAUUGGAAACUACCGGACUGGAGUGUCGGAGGGGUAAGUGGAAUUCCUAGUGUAGCGGUGAAAUGCGUAGAUAUUAGGAGGAACACCAGUGGCGAAGGCGGCUUACUGGACGAUCACUGACGCUGAGGCUCGAAAGCGUGGGGAGCAAACAGGAUUAGAUACCCGAGUA
rnacentral:rRNA from 1 species